CCAUAAGAAUCAAAGCAUUUUGUUCCCAUUGGAGUUUAUGAGCUAGGGCGGAUUUUGCCCCACAAGUGUGACAUUAUGCAGAACUUUAUGUUGCAAUUUGUAGUGAAUGGGAUUUACAAUCACUGCUCUAACCCAGUCUUUGGUUAAUGGCAAAGAAAAUGGUGGCAGAUUCUGACAGUUUGUGUAAAUAUACUCAUUAAGCACUGGAAAAGUAAAAUUUCACAUCUGAUCCACAGAUAUGGGAAAUUUCACAGACUUGAAAAUUCAUGAGAUUUGAGAAAGAAUACUCCAAAGGACUCAAAUGAAAUAUCUUGUAGGAUAACAGAUUACUAUCUGAAAGUACAUAGGAGACACUGACUGGGAAGAUCUGCUCAAUUCAGGUUAGGACCUGCUUUUCUAAUUUGUCAUCAUUGUAGAAGCUUCUGGGAGAAAAUAAGUUAGAGCAGGAAGAGUACAAAUUCCAAAUUCCUACGAUCAAGGAUGUUUUCACACAGAAUAUAGAGUGUAGUGGCAUUUUUUGCCAAAAUGAUGGACAAAAGAUUAAAUCAAACAAUUCAUCAGAGAAGACUGAAUACUACAAAAAAGUCUGCAAUAAUUCACUGACACCAACUUGGCAAUAGUUUCCAUUACAAGCUAUAUUCAUGUUUGUGCCCCUUGUUUUUGAUGCUUCUGUAGAUAUCAGAGUGAGGAUGAAGUGGUUUAAACUUUUGUUGAACACAAAAUAUUGCAUUAAAUGUGCUAGUGUUGACAGCUGUUGGGUUAACAAUCAUACAAUACAAAAUUCUUCACAAUAAAUCAUUUUUAUACUUAAUCUGUUUGAAAGUGAUAAUGAAUUCAUAUGACAUCUGACAUUAACAAUGAGACAACAUACUGAAAUAAAUACCAAACCCUCACAUAAAAUUUAGAGUUCAAUUAUAUCAUAGAAUGUUUGAAUAUUUCCAAAAAGCAACUGAGAAAAAAAGGAUAUUUUUUAUUAUCUCAUGAGGAGAAAAAGAUGUAACAUUCAAAUUAUUCAAAAUAUAUUAUUCUCUUGGGUUUAACUUUAAGGCAAUCAGCCUGGUCAAUUUAGUAGACCUGAAGCCUUCAGGAAAAUACUUUUAACAUACUUUAUAGCUCUAUUCAAACAAAUGGCAUUUUUGAUAAAACAUGUAUUUUUGCCCAUAUCAUAAUGCGUGCACAAACUUUUCACAGGGUUUAUCCAAGCAAUCAGUGCUCAGAACAAAUAGCAAAUUUUGCUGAGAACAUUUGAAGUGAUGUCGCAUACUGUCCAGCAGCUGCUGUACUAGUAAUAUCAUAAAAUAAAUACCAACACCUUUUAUAGUGAUCUUCUUUCAUGGAUUUGGAAGCGUUCUGCGAUGAAAGAUAAGCACUGACUUCCACAUUUGCCCCCUGCUCAUGUGCAUAUGCACUUCAGUGGUGGCUUAUCUUGUCAUUGCAGGAGACAGAGCAAAGAGCAGGUGGAGGGAGCCAGUGCUGCAAGCAACGGGGCUCUCGAAUUCUGUUUAGCAAUUUCAGGCAUCGAUAUGAACUGAAUGCUUGAACCACCCUCACUCAGCUUGACUAUUGGAGUACUGACUGGGAAAGGCAUGUGAACUGUAAAGCUUGCCUGUUUCUCUCAGCUAUCCAAGGAAAUUAAGUGUCUCUUUGUAUUAGCUUGGCCUCUCCCAUAUCCCUGCACCAUCAUGUCCUCUGCACUGCUGGUACCAUGGCAGCUUUGAGUCUAACAAUGAAGAACUCUAACUUUGCCUCUGGAGUUCUGCUAAUGUAAAAGUCUGGUGCAGUGGGUGCCAGUAAUUUCGAAGUAAAUUGGUCAGUGCUGAAGGUAGCAAAAGCAGUAAGUAUUAAAGUCUAAUUUGACUAUCAGUUUGACUAUCUGCUUCCUCUGAGACAGUUUUAGGGUAACUGUGAUAUUCUUAUUAAAUCUUAAUUUUCACCUGAUUUCAAUAUUAAUUUUCAAAAUAAGGCAGUGUGUCUUUUUAAACAUACCAGUUUGUGACUCUUUUAUUCACCUGAAAAAUAUUUAUUUCUCUUUCUUGAAAAGUUAUCCACAUCAAUUUCUUCUACAGAAGGCAACCAUCCCACAGGGGCUGUUCCUCCUACUCAACCAUAAUGUCUCUUGUGCAGUGUGUUCCUGCAUUUGUUUCCUUCGACUGAUCAGGGCUAGCGUCUGAUGUAUCCUGUCCCCUUACUAAAGAAGGCCUUUUAAUCUGCCCUUUCAUCUUUCACUGCAGGAAGCUCUCCCUUUUCCAUUCCCCUUCCCAUCUCUGUGGUUUAUCUUUCCUGGAGGUUAUAGCAUUCUCCAGAGAUUUAGUCAGACAGUGGUAAUGAAGAUCUGUCUUAGGAAAUUAGGUCAGAUAUCUGUAACUUUUAGGAUUAGCAUAACAGAUGCCAUAAAGCGAGCUUAUGCAUAGGUACGUGGCAGCUGAUGAUCUGCAAAUCAGAAUUAGGUUUCCUGAUAUUGAUAUUCUCUUCUUGUUCCCUAGUGUCCAAGGCAUGCUGGUCCAUGUACAGCCCUCCUCUGAACCCCUGUCCCCAUGAGCAACUUGAUAACCAGAGAGAUGGAUAAGCAUCAUGUCCUCAGAAACACCCUCAGGUUUCUUGGGGGGUGAGGGCUGGUGACUGCCUGUGAAGGAUCAGACUCAUUCUGAAACUGCCCUGAAUUCGGAGUUAAUCACUGGAUAUGAUCACCAGCAUGACACACUCAAGGUAGAAAUUGCCAAAGGAUAAUGCGGUGAGUCCCAUUAAGGAAGAAAUAUUGCUUAGAAAGACCUCACAAAUGUGACAUAUGAAGCCAGCUCAUGGGAAGAACACAUCCAACUCAGGGACCAGCCAGACUUUUCCUGUAUCUAUCUUUCCAAACGGUGGAGUAUAAAGACAUGGCUACUGUCAAACCCAAUUUGCAGAGCAACCCACUCUUUGAAUGCCUGCAUCAGUCGUCCUGUUUAUCUAACCCUUUUCACAGCCUUUUGAAAGGUUUUUCUUACUUCUUUUCUUACUUCUCCCAAGUGCCCUUAUCAAUGUACUUAUGUUCCCAUAGCACUUUCAUUAAACCUGCUGUUGUCUCAGGUCCAUGUCUCCUAAUAUCUAAUCUAAUUCCAGUUGCUCUGAGUAAAUAAUUUUGCUGCUCUGUCUGCCUCUUGGCUCAUUCCCCACCUUGCUGUUAAGAAAGUUAAGAAAGUUAAGAGCUGAAUAAAUGGAAGCCCUGUGGCUUUUAAGCAGACGAAUGAGCCUUUGUUCUCAUUCCUAAAUUCAUCUCACUUUCAAUUUGUGACCAUGACUGAGCUGGAACUGCAGACUAUAAAGAAUGGCUUCUCAGAUGUUGAGGCUGUGGAUUAUGAAUUUGCCAGAGAUGCUAAUGCUAACUCUUCUCACUCCAUGUGGAACCAUGGUUUUCCAGACACACUGUCAGCCCAGCAGUCAGUCCUCAGUCUUGCAGAUGGACAUGUGUCUUCACCCUUAGCUUUCUGAUCAUGUCUGCAUCUCCCAUUCCUUCUCUUUCUCUGAAUCAAAGGUGACACACAAA